AUGGUAAUUCCUCUGUUUGGAGCACUCCCUGGUUUCCUCAUUGGCAAUCGAUUUAUGAGCAUUUACAAAUUCGUCCGGGGCAUUAUGUAUAUCCUUCCAAAAUCAAGGAUUUAUGGAAUCAAAAUCAAAAAACAUGGAAUGCCAGUCUUAUUUAUAAUCUUUUUGACUAUGAAGUGGCUAACAACAUCAUGA
rnacentral:rRNA from 1 species